rnacentral:lncRNA from 1 species
CCAGCAUCCAAGGAGAGUGUGGGCAGCUGGAGCCAGUUAGCACUGCCUCUAAGGUCUCCUGCAACUCACCCACCCACCCCUCUUACUCCAUGGUAUUCAACUUCUAAACUAAGAGGAAAGCCCGAGCUAGAGGUCCUAUGCAUCAAUCAGGGAAGAGAUAUUGAGAAGAAUAAACAGAGAAACUAAUAGCUGAGAUCAACCUUGAUUGCCUUUUAAGUCGAGUAAAUUGGAGGACAGGCUGCCCAGUAUCUUAGUUCUUCUAAGACUGCUUGCAAACCAGAAAGUGUGAACAGUGUGAUGACGAAUGCUCUUAAGACCAGGAGUUCAAGCUUAACUCCCAACCCCUUGAGUGUGGGCUAGACUUAGUGACCUGCUUCUAAGGAAUAGAGUAUGGAAAGAGGAAAAUAGCAACAUUACAGGAGAGAAACCUGAAAGCAACUUAACCAAGUGAUCACAGAAUCACUGGUAAUAACUCUUGUUGAUAUCAUGUGCCCCCAAUACAGUAUGAUGAAAAGACCCAUCAUCUCGGUGAUAUUUAUCCUCAAAAUCUAUAAUCUUACAACAAUUAUGAGAAAAUAUAGACAAACCCAAUUUGAAAGGAAGCAAGUCUACAAGAUACUUAACCAGUACUUUACAAAAGUGACAAGGUCACAAAAGACAGCACAAGACUGAGAAACUCACAGAUUGGAGGAAGCCAAAGAGACAUCAUGGCUGAGAUCAUGGUGGUGGAACCCUGGUUUGGAUCCUGGAACAGAAAAAAAGAACACUAAGUGGAAAAACUGAUGAAAUAUAAAUAACAUAAUAAAAAUCUAUAAUUUAAUUAAUGGUAUUGUACGACUAUUAAUCUCUUAAGUUUUAAAAAAUGGACCAUUAUUAUGUAAGAUAUUAACGUCAGGGGAAGCUAGGUAAAGGUUACUUGGGAACUCUCUGCAACUUUUCUAAAAUUAUUUUGGAUGGGUGUGGUGGCUCAUUCCCCCUGUAAUCUCAACACUUUAGAAGGAAAGGGCAGCAGGAUUGCUUGAGGUCAAGAGUUCAGCCUUGGCAAUGUAGAAAGACCCCAUCUUUACAAAAACGUAAAAAUAAAAAAUAGCCAGCAUGAUGGCACCUUCCAGUAGUCCUAGCUACUCAGGAGGCAUAGCCAGGAAGAUUGCUUGAACACAGGAGUUUGAGGCUGCAAGGUGCUAGAAUUGCACCACUGUACUGCAGCCUGG